ensembl:lncRNA
AUAAAGAAUCACGAGUAGAGAUAACAAGAACACGAGUAGAGGAUAAAAGAACACGAGUAGAGGAUAAAAGAACACGAGUAGAGACGAUAAAAGAACACGACUAGAGACGAUAAAAGAACACGAGUAGAGGAUAAAAGAACACGAGUAGAGGAUAAAAGAACACGAGUAGAGGAUAAAAGAACACGAGUAGAGGAUAAAAGAACACGAGUAGAGGAUAAAAGAACACGAGUAGAGACGAUAAAAGAACACGAGUAGAGGAUAAAAGAACACGAGUAGAGACGAUAAAAGAACACGAGUAGAGGAUAAAAGAACACGAGUAGAGGAUAAAAGAACACGAGUAGAGGAUAAAAGAACACGAGUAGAGGAUAAAAGAACACGAGUAGAGGAUAAAAGAACACGAGUAGAGACGAUAAAAGAACACGAGUAGAGGAUAAAAGAACACGAGUAGAGGAUAAAAGAACACGAGUAGAGGAUAAAAGAACACGAGUAGAGGAUAAAAGAAGACGAUAGAGGAUUAAAAGAACACGAGUAGAGACGAUAAAAGAACACGAGUAGAG